rnacentral:misc_RNA from 1 species
UCUCCGUUGGUGAACCAGCGGAGGGAUCAUUACAGAGUUGCAAAACUCCCUAAACCAUUGUGAACGUUACCCAAACCGUUGCUUCGGCGGGCGGCGCCCAGCGCCCCCCCGGCCCCUCGCGGGGCGCCCGCCGGAGGCCCCAAACUCUUAUGUCUUUAGUGGUUUUCUCCUCUGAGUGACACAUAAACAAAUAAAUAAAAACUUUCAACAACGGAUCUCUUGGUUCUG